CCACUUUGCUCUAAUGGAAAACUUUGUGGGUGCUAGGCUAUGAUAUGGCAGCUCUGCCUUUAGCCAGCAAGAGAUAUUGACAUAUGCUAGACAUAGUAAUUCAGCCAUGAGCCACCCUGCGGCAUAUUCAGGUGCCAGCAGCCGCGGUCAUACCUGAGCAGCUCAAAGUUCAUUCGGCAGGCUACUCUACUAGAUUUUUCUAAAAAUCAGUGAAAUGUUUUUAGACUUUUACCAAGGGUAGUACUUCUUGCCCAAACUCUACAAACAAACUAGGAUUAGAUACCCUACUAUGAUGAGCUCAAAAAGAAAGUCGAAGCACUAAAGCCCAAUGGCUAAAACUUAAAGAGCAUGGCGGCGGGCAAAAUUUUCAGGGGAACUUACCCGAUAAUUGAUAACCCACAAGAAGCGCUUCGAAUCCUUUAUAGUUUGUAUACCGCCGUCUUAAGGUGUCAUCUAAGAUAGCACCUAAUCCUUUUAGGAGGAAAAGACAGGUCAUGGUGCAGCUAAUGGAUUCGAGCAGGGCGAGUUACAGUUAGAGCUACUAUCAAACGUUGAGACUAAGUGCCCAACCGAAGCUGGACUUGAAAGUAACAGGCAAGAAAAUACCCUUUGAAUUACUUCUUUGCUCGUGCACAAAUCGCCCGUCACUCUCGUUGAAAAAGGAGAUAAGUCGUAACACAGUAGGGGUAGUGGAAGCUGCCCCU
rnacentral:ncRNA from 1 species